UACGUAGGGUGCGAGCGUUAAUCGGAAUUACUGGGCGUAAAGCGUGCGCAGGCGGCUUCGCAAGUCAGACGUGAAAUCCCCGGGCUUAACCUGGGAAUGGCGUUUGAAACUACGGAGCUGGAGUGUGGCAGAGGGAGGUAGAAUUCCACGUGUAGCGGUGAAAUGCGUAGAUAUGUGGAGGAAUACCGAUGGCGAAGGCAGCCUCCUGGGCCAGCACUGACGCUCAUGCACGAAAGCGUGGGGAGCAAACAGG
rnacentral:rRNA from 1 species